rnacentral:rRNA from 1 species
UACGAAGGGGGCUAGCGUUGCUCGGAAUCACUGGGCGUAAAGCGCACGUAGGCGGACUCUUAAGUCGGUGGUGAAAUCCUGGAGCUCAACUCCAGAACUGCCUUCGAUACUGGGAGUCUCGAGUUCGGGAGAGGUGAGUGGAACUGCGAGUGUAGAGGUGAAAUUCGUAGAUAUUCGCAAGAACACCAGUGGCGAAGGCGGCACUCUGGGCCGGUACUGACGCUGAGGAGCGAAAGCGUGGGGAGCGAACAGG